AGAACACCUACGCUGUACACUAAUUUGUAACAUUGAAUAUUAUUUUGCCAGCAUUGUAUCUACCUGUUAAGAUGGUGAAUGGAUUUCUGAAAUCAUAAACAUUGAAAUUGUUUCCAAAAAAUUUUCAAAAAAAAUUUUCACGACACGUAAAGAAAAUUUUAUACCUGGUGUGAAGAUCAACUGCGAAAGUCUUGUGAAGAUGAUGUCCAAGAAAAUGAUGUCGUCUUCGUAUGCUGGCUAAUGUAGAACCCCCUGUACGUAUACUGAAUGUAUCCUGAGUGUAAUCUUGUCCGGUAUACCUUCAGUAUACGUAACAGGAGGCCUCACUUUGCAACGUUGGAGAUUCCGUGCGCUGAUUUUUUCUU